rnacentral:rRNA from 1 species
AUUGAACGCUGGCGGCAGGCCUAACACAUGCAAGUCGAGCGCGCGGCGGACGGGUGAGUAUUGUCUCGGAAACUGUGUGUUGGGGGGGGGUAACAACAGUAAAAGGUAUCGAUUAUCGCACACCCUCUGAUGUGUCCCGAGGGGGUUAGCUAGUGGGUGGGGUAACGGCUCACCAAGGGGCCGAUCCCUAGCUGGUCUGUGAGGAUGACCAGCCACACUGGAACUGAGACACGGUCCAGACUCCUACGGGAGGCAGCAGUGGGGAAUAGUGCACAAUGGGCGCAAGCCUGAUGCAGCCAUGCCGCGUGUGUGAAGAAGGCCUUCGGGUUGUAAAGCACUUUCAGCGGGGAGGCGUUACCCGCAGAAGAAGCACCGGCUAACUCCGUGCCAGCAGCCGCGGUAAUAC